rnacentral:tRNA from 1 species
GCCCCGGUAGUUCAGAGGCCAAGAAUUCCGCCUUCUCACGGCGGUGACCCGAGUUCGAAUCUCGGCCGGGGCG